rnacentral:misc_RNA from 1 species
GGGGUUGGAAAGUCCACUAAUCUAGCUAAGGUAGCAUACUGGCUCCUGCAGCAUGAGAUCAGUGUUAUGAUGGCUGCUUGUGAUACAUUCCGGUCAGGAGCUGUUGAGCAGCUGCGCACUCAUGCACGUAGACUUCAGAUACCUAUAUUUGAAAAGGGCUAUGAGAAAGAUCCUGCAAUUGUAGCAAAGGAAGCAAUUCAAGAGGCAGCAUGCAAUGGUUCUGAUGUGGUUCUUGUUGAUACUGC